GGAGAGCUGUCCGAGUGGUCGAAGGUGCGUGAUUCGAAAUCACGUGUACCGCGAGGUACCAAGGGUUCGAAUCCCUUGCUCUCCGCCA
rnacentral:tRNA from 1 species